rnacentral:tRNA from 1 species
GGAGGGAUGCCCGAGUGGCCAAAGGGAACGGACUGUAAAUCCGUCGGCACAGCCUACGAAGGUUCAAAUCCUUCUCCCUCCACCA